CUAAGUUUUGCACUCUAUCUGGAUCCAGAAAGAUGCCAGUGAACGUGGUCACAAAGGGGACAUGUUCUGCCUGCUCCCCAAGGUGGAAUCAGUGCAUAGAGUCCCGUGGCUGCCUAUUUUCUGGUUCGGGUCAUGAGAAAGUCACUUCCUCCCUUUGCAAAAGGGUACUGUUUUUGUGAAAUGAAGCCAGGGUACGCUGCGUGCAUAUCUGAAGUCAGAUCCUUCUGAGGUUCUGCCGUUAGCUUGUCCAUCUUCAUUGUCAAUGGUAUCGGGAAAUUCCCCUCCUUUCCCCAGCUUUGUUGGGUCUUCAAGGGUGACUGAAGGAGAGGUUCUUAUGAGUCAUUGCAUUGAAGGCCACCAGCCAGACACCACUGUGAGCCAUAAACUGUCAUAUAAAAGCUUUUCCAACCACCACCACAACAACAAAAUAUUCUCAGAACAUAGAUAUACACAGAAUACGGUCCCUGUGUCAACAGUCACUUGUGUGGGCUCAGUGCUGACAACGGUGCUGUGGCUACUCCAGGUAUGCUGCAAUCCCUCUUUGAAGAUUGCCAUCAGGGCUGGAAACACAUAUUUUUGGUAUUCUGAGUCCACAAGUGUAAUAUUUUUACAUCGUGUUUGAUUUUCGGAAAUGGUUAAAAGUCAUUCGCCACAUACUUCAGUUUAUAAAAGAAAUGUCCAACUGGCUGGAAAGAGUGGUGGAAGGGCAGAGGGGUGGGAAUGGUUAAUGGGUACCAAAAAUUUAGAAAGACUGAAUAAGACCUAGUAUUUGAUAGCACAACAGGGUGACUAUAGUCAAUCAUAAUUGAAUCGUACAUUAAAAAAUAACUAAAAGAGUAUAAUUGGAUUGUUUAUAAUACAAAGUAUAAAUGCUUGAGGGGAUAGAUACCCCAUUCUCCAUGUUGUGAUUAUCACACAUUGCACACCUGUAUCAAAACAUCUCAUGCAUUCCAUGAAUAUGUACACCAUGUACCCACAAAAGUUACAAUUAAAAAUAAAAAAAGAAAUGUCCAACAGGCUAAGUUUUAAUGAUAUAUAUUUUAUAUGGAUAUAUAAUGUUUUUACCCUACAUAGACAGAGAAAACUGUAAAGUAAUAAGACUAAUUGAUGUUCUUUUGCAGCUCAUAAACACUCCGAAGGCAAUUCCCAAAGCAACAGAAGACACAGGGCCUCGUA
rnacentral:lncRNA from 10 species